GACCCCUUGAAAAUUCACUAUAAUCCCGCGGAUUACAGUUGGAUUGUUUUCCGGGCUCACAAUCCAAAAACCUUUACACUUUGGUUUUCUGGGUUCACCAAAAACCUAUGUUGGUUUACGGGCUCACCAACGAACCUAUACAAUUGGUUUUACGGGUUCACCAACAACCUACGUUGGUUUUACAGGCUUACCAACAACCUAUGUUGGUUUUACGGGCUCACCAACGAACCUUUACAAUUGGUUUUCCGGGUUCACCAAUCAACCUAUUCCGUUGGUUUUGCGGGCUAACCAACCAACCUUUACAAGUAGUUUAAUAAACAAAGGAAGAAGAUUCAAACUCCCAGAUGAGCAAAUAUAACAAUAUAAUCUACAAAGAAGAGUUUAGAGAAUAUUUAUCGCUUGAUGUGACUUCUCUCUUCUUUGUCAAGGAUGCUUCACUCUUCAAGGGUGGAUGGAGCUCUUGAUGACUCUUUGAAUCUGCUCAUCCACUUUCUUU
rnacentral:lncRNA from 1 species